GCAAGUAAUGUUUUUUCUCCUUAUCUUUACACAUAGUUAUAAAUCUGUUCUGUAGUUUAAUUAAAUUAAAUCGUUAAAUAGAGCUUCAGCUAUACAGUUUAAAGAGAAGACAGCUAACUAGCGGUUAGCCCUAAGAUUAAAUCUACCAAAAAUUAUUUAAACUGAGAUGUAGUGAGUAGAUACUUCUUUUGAGUAAAAUCUAACAUGUUAAAGUACAAGGCCAAAGGUUUACUUCUUCCUGUAGACCUUUUUGUUUGUAUUUUUACACCCAUUUCCCGCCAAAAUGUUAGCUUUCUAGCUAACAUGCUACUGAGCAGAUUAUUUUAGUUUAGCACAGCAUGAAUUUUAUUUAACAUGAGCUUAAAAUAGACAUUUUGUCUGUUUUAACGAGUUUCCUGAAAGUUUGUUGGCUUUAAAUCACAGCAUUUUAUUUGAAGUUGUAAAUAGCUGAUAUUUUUGUAUGCUUUGUAAAGCUCUCAGUGAACAUAUAUCCCAUAUAUCCCAGUGAACACUAGCUUGCUGCUAGCUGAAGUUCAGUCAGUUAGUUACACAAGAUGGUGGAUAGUUACACAAGAUGGUGCUGUCUGUCUUACCUCAGCGGCUACGAGCGCGCGCGUUACUGCUGCCGAUUCAGCGCCGCUUUCUGAGAGAAGUGUUUUAUGUGACGUGUUAAGAAGUUGUUUGUCAUCAGAAUGAGCGUUUUGGCCAUAUAACAGAGAAGGUUUUCUUACCAAAUACAUUAAAUCAGCUCUUCACUUUAUUGCUGCGUGCCUCAGUGUGUUAAUUCUGUGAGGUAUAAUUCAGAAAAAAUGUUUUUUAUGUUUCCAGUCGAUGCUAAGUGAGCUGAACUAAGACCUGAAGACACAGUUAAAUAAAAUACAAUACUUUUGCUUGGGAAAGAUUGAUCUUUGUGUAUUAUAUAUAUAUAUAUAUAUAUAUAUAUAUAUAUAUAUAUAUAUAUAUAUAUAUAUAUAUAUAUAUAUAUUGCUGUGUGCAAUGUCAGUCGUGCAUUUCUUUCUUUAGUUAAUUUCUUUCUAAUGAACUGACUGUAUAAUUAUCAACAUGUAUAUUUUAAAACAUUAGAUUAAGAAAGAUGUUGAAGUAAGAUAUCGAGGUAAACAUGUGUAUUGUGAAGUCAAAAUAUCAUUAAUAUUCAGAAAAAAAGAAACCACACACACUUUUCCUUUCCUUCUGACCCCUUCAAAAAAACACUGAAAAUAAAAUAGAAAUUGGUACAUACCACGUUAACAAGACAUGAAAUUUUAAAAUAAUUGAACUGACAAAAGUUCCAACGGAACCAAAAAAUAAAUGUUAUAAAAAACUAAUAGGAGAAUAAUGAGGACUAUUUGUUUAAUUCUUUCCUCGUUAUACUGUUUAGGGAGAGGUGUGAAAACAGGACACUCAUCCACAGUCAUCACCAGAUCUCGAAGCGCUUGUCUUUUCGGAAAGGCUCAAUAUCAGUAAUUCUGUUGUUGUGGAGUCUGAAGACACAACAAAGAUAUUCAAACUUUCAUUAAACAGGUCAGUCAUUACAUACACAUUACUUCCAUACCCAUCUAUAUACAUACAGUAUAUACAGUGUCUGUGUACAAACACAUACACAAACCUACCGAACUGUCUGUAUGUUCCUGUUAGUAGAAACGACUGUGUAGAUUCUUCCAGCUAAACCGUCACCUAUGUCAUUGUGACUCAGGCUAAGGAAAAGAACAAACCUAUGAAUACAAUGAGCACAGUGUAACUGCAGCUAACACACACACACACACACACACACACACACACAGCAUACUCACUCCAGGACAGCUGCUUUAUGCAGGUGUGGGAACAGCAGCUCUAGGCUGUGAUCAGUGAGCUGGCAGUGGCUGAGGUCCAGUUCAGACAGACCUUCAGAAAAUUCCAGAAACAAUGCUAGUGAUCUACAGGCAUUGAGGUCCAGAGGGGUCUCACUGAGGUCCAUCUCUUCAUCCAGCGCCUGGGAGAGGGACAUAGCAUGCCUCACACAGUCUGACUCAUUCACCACAUGAAGACGGGCCAGGAACCGGAGCAACAAAGGUUUACUACAGCUGAGUAAGGAUGAGAGAAAGAGAGACAGUUAAAACUUUUAAUAUACAGUCACACAUAUUCAAGUUAGUAAUUAGUCUCAAGUAGUCUCUAUGCAAUAAAGUGUACAAUUUCACUUUAGAGCUCAGUGGCAUUAAAAUACUGUAUGACUUCUACUGGACUGGUUAAAAAUAGAAAGUUGAUCUUAAACUGUACAACUUGGACAACCUGCCUAUGUGACUUAAUUGAAAAUGCAUCUUCUAGCCUGUAGCCACAGUGUCUAGACACAGUAGUUUGUCAUUCAGACUUGAGCAUUAUCCUGUAUGUGUGUCUCACCACAGUUUCACACUAUGUAGAAUGAGGAAGAGCAUGUCCACUCCAGUGUCCUCCAUCUCACAGUGCACUAGAAUGAGCUCUGUAUGUUGGAGAGAUUUCUGAAUGGCAGUGCUGAUGUCUCUGCAGUCCUCAGUGGUCAGAUGCAGAGUGUUAUCCUGUGUUUCUGUGGUCAGAUCCAAACCAGUGCUACAAGAGAAGUCCAGUCUGCUCUGCAGAGCAGAGAAAACUGCUGCUACUGCCCCCUGCUGGAUCUCAGAGAUACUGCAGCAGUGGAUCAACUUCAACAACAGGACCCUGUCAACACUGAGAGCAAGGAAAACAAGCAUUUUCUUUGUUACACUUAUGUAUUUUUUAAUUAGUGGUGCUUGAAAAGCACUACUAUUGUUCUUCGGCAUACUUAUUAUAAAUAUUAUUCUUCUUCUGCCACUUUUUUUUCGGCGCGUAACUAGUCCCGCACCGUUUGUCGGAGAUCGACGGGUGAGGUGUCAAAUCGAUCGGCUUAUUGAGUAGAGGUGUGCUAUGACUUUUGGUAGCGAUUGUAAUGUCGGCAUUUCCGGUACGGAAGCUCAAAGUCGGAAAAUUUCCCAUAGACUUGCAUUGAGUUUUGAAAGUAUUGGCACUCUAAAGAGAAAGCUCUAAAAGUUUUGCCUCCGUACACAUUCGGCUCUAAAAUGUAUUGGCACCUGAUCUGUUCGGCACUCAGAAGUAUUGGCACCCUAUCUGUCCGGCUCUCGAAAGUAUUGGCACCCUACGCGGGUCGGCUUUUGAAAGAAUUGGCGCCCCGUCCCAGUUUCGCCGCGUCAAGCACCACUCACAUUUUCUUCAGGAAAUGUACCGGUCUAGUUAUUACUGCAAUUUCUAUUACUCUAAAGUGGAUUGUGAACACUGAGUUACCUGAGCUGAGAAACUCUGUUGAACAGAGGGAGAAUCUUCACCAGCUCCCCCUCUGGUAUGGAGGUCCACAGCAGGCUCAGAGAGACAGAAGUACAGUGUUGGAGGGUGAAGCACAGGGCAGUACAGUGGUAAGAGUCCAGCUCUGUAUUGUUCAGGUUGAUACAGCUGUGUGUUGAACUCAACAGACUGGACACACAGUGAGCAGAGCCAGUCUCAUAGAUCUCUCUGAUGAUUGACAGCACAACACUGGGGUUCAAUCUGUAGAGGUUACAAUCACAUCCAUACAUAAAUUUAACGAUAAAUAUUAUUCUUCUGUUAAACCAAUACAGGAGAGGCAAUUCUUUUUAUUUAUUCCUUUUCUUUCCACAAGGUUUAUUAAUUAUUAAUAUUUAACGAUAUGAGCCUCUGAGUACUGAGUGUGGAUAUAUUAUUGUUCAACAUUGAAGAUAUGUCCAUUAAAUAAUGCAUUAAGAUAAUAGUGUAUCUGAUUAUCAUAAAUGUUUACGUGUGUCAUUAUUGGUGCAUUAAUAUGUGGUACAUUUCUAUUCCAGAAACCACACAUAUAGUAAAAGGUGUCUUUGGAAGCAAGAGUGCCUGAUCACAUGAUGUUGACUAAUAAAGAUGAUCAGACAGCCAUAAGAGUUGCUUCAUCUUGAAUCAGGCUCACAUUACUCAAACCGGUGUUCAUGUGGAUGUGACUUCAUCUAUUCUUUUACAUAGCUUUGAGUCUUUGGAACUUAACACAGACUCUGAAAGUGCAUUACCAAGCAAAAUUCACUAUACCUUAGUAUUACUGUUAUAAAAUUAUAAUUAGUUUCAGUUUCGGAAGGAUGUUAAUGAGUUAUGUACAGUAGGUAUCUAAUAUUGUUCAAUAGUACAUUAUUCAAAAGUAAGCAAAGAAACAUUUUAGAUGUAACCCACCUAAUAGUCUUAAAUUGCUACUCAACAUUUAAAGAUUAAGUAUGAAAGCAGAAAUUCUUUCAAAGGAGAUUACAUGUGUAUCUUCUUACCGUUUAAACUGAAUUUCAGACAGUAGAGGAAGAAUCUGUCUGGCAUGAUUAUAUGUGAUUUUGCUCUUUCUGAUGUUCGCACUAAUGCAGCAAACUCGCUGCUGGAGAAAAUAGAUAAGCUCCUCCCAACUGAGAGAACAGGAAGUCAGGUCUCCUCCCACCUUCUCCAGGAAAAAGCGGGUCAGUUCCCCAUCCUGCACCUCACACAGCAGACUGCAUGACACAUGAGGCUGAUGAGAGAGUGAGCCUCCAUCCUGCACUCAGUGAGAUUCACACAGUGAACAGUCCAGAUGUUCAGGAGAGAAGACAAACUGCUCAGAAAUGUGAAGAUCUCUUUCUUUGGGUUUAUGCUGUUAAGCCUCAGACAGAGCUCCUCAAUGACCAACGAGCCACCAGCUCUCACUGCUCCAAAUGCUCGGACCAUCCUCCCUACCACACGGUCACUCAGGCUGACAAGCGUUCACCAAACACAUUCAUUAAAGGGGAUUUCAUGGUCCAGCUCAAUUUCACUCAUGCAUACUAAAGCUUAAUGAAGUUAUAUAACCUGGUGUGAAAAUUAAGAAACUGAUUAAUAACAUACCAGAGUUUCUGUAGGUGUGUGAUGUGUCUGAAGAGAAGUCUGGCCCCUCGGAGAGAGAUGGCUCGGGGUUUCAGAGUGAGUUUGACUUUGGAGUCUGAGAGACGUAGCACUUUCCUCACAGCCCUGCACUCACGAGUGGUUAAAACCCAGUCUAUAAUGAAGAUGAAGUCCAAGGCAGCAAAGAAAGCUCUCACCAACUUUGUAUCUUCUGCGCAGUCAACAACUGCUUUACUUAAACGUGGAAUGAACUCUUCUUCACAUCUAAAACAGACAGGAUUAAUGUAAAACUAUAAAUAGGACAUCUUCUAACUUAUUGUUCUUAAAAUUCCAUAAAUAACAUGUUAGAGGUGAUGCAGUGCUGCUAUAAAGUUUGUGAACCUUUUACAUUUUCUGCAUUUCUGCAUAAAUUUGAUCUGAAAUGUGAUCAGAUCUUCAUCUCAGUCAGAA
ensembl:lncRNA